rnacentral:rRNA from 1 species
CCUACGGGAGGCAGCAGUGGGGAAUAUUGGGCAAUGGAGGAAACUCUGACCCAGCGACGCCGCGUGCGGGAUGAAGGCCUUCGGGUUGUAAACCGCUUUCAGUAGGGAAGAAGCGAAAGUGACGGUACCUACAGAAGAAGCACCGGCUAACUAUGUGCCAGCAGCCGCGGUAAUACAUAGGGUGCAAGCGUUGUCCGGAAUUAUUGGGCGUAAAGAGCUCGUAGGUGGUUCGUCACGUCGGAUGUGAAAAUCUGGGGCUCAACCCCAGACCUGCAUUCGAUACGGGCGAUCUAGAGUGUGGUAGGGGAGACUGGAAUUCCUGGUGUAGCGGUGGAAUGCGCAGAUAUCAGGAGGAACACCAAUGGCGAAGGCAGGUCUCUGGGCCAUUACUGACACUGAGGAGCGAAAGCGUGGGGAGCGAACAGGAUUAGAUACCCUGGUAGUCCACGCCGUAAACGGUGGGCACUAGUUGUGGGAACCUUCACGGUUUCUGCGACGGCNGCUACGCAUAGUAGCCCGCCGUCGGGAGGUACGACGCGCGAGAAGUAAACUACUAAGUAGUAGUUAGACGUCGUUGAGACGNGCCGACGGACGACGACGAGGGAGGAGG